AAUUAAUGAGCUUGUAAAAGCAUAUAUUUUGAAAAUAUAAGAAAGAAUAAAAUUCUAUUAAUUU
rnacentral:tRNA from 2 species